rnacentral:rRNA from 1 species
GAUGAACGCUGGCGGCAUGCCUAACACAUGCAAGUCGAGCGGACGCACGGGAAGCGUUUUCCCCUAAUGUUGGCGGGGGGCGGGCGAGUAAGACGUGGAUCAGAUACUUAUAUGUCUGGGGUAACAACGUGAGAAAGGAGCUAAUACCAGCUAAUAUUUUGAACCGCAUGGUGCAAGAGUGAAAGACGGUCUUGCUGUCACUUAUAGAUGGAGCCGCGUUGCAUUAGCUAGUUGGUAAGGUAACGGCUUACCAAGGCGACGAUGCGUAGCCGACCUGAGAGGGUGAUCAGCCACACUGGAACUGAGACACGGUCCAGACUCCUACGGGAGGCAGCAGUGGGGAAUCUUGCACAAUGGGCGAAAGCCUGACGCAGCAACGCCGCGUGAGUGAUGAAGGUCUUCGGGUCGUAAAACUCUGUUGUUAGGAAAGAAAAGAUGUGUAAGUAUCUGUGCCCGUCUUGACGGUACCUAAACAAAAAGCCACGGCUAACUACGUG